CUAGCUAAUUACGAUAUGUUUCCUCGACCGAGACCCUAACCGGGAGAAAUUCUUCUAUAGUGGUGGAGGGAAAGCAAAAGCAUAAAAACCCCUCGUCGUUGCAGAAAGAGGUCCUCGUAGUGUUUUUGAGAGUGUAUGUGUAAUAGCUGAGAAUGAAACGGGGCAGGUGUUUCGGUGCUAGUUUGUGCAGCAAUAGACGAGAUAGGUGACUGAAUAUGAAUUCAAGCUCGUGGUGAUCGGACUGCGUGUUCUUAUUGAAUUUCAUUUAAUUCUUGAGCUACGGGUGUUGAAUAGGAAAGAUUGAGCGGCGGCCUAAGUGAUCAGUCGGAAUUUUGCUUGAAUCGCACCAGCUUGAAGCUUUUCGUUGCUUGUAGGAGCUCAGUUAGAGCAGCCAUGCGAGUAAUAGUAGCUUCUGAUGCAGCUCAAGGGCUCUUUUGAUACCGAAGGAAAAUUGUGGUGUUUUUGAGAGUGUAUGUGUAAGCUAGGUUAUCGAGUAGUAGUGAGAGGUGCGAGCUAAUGCUGGUUUAAGAUGUGGCAGAUGCUCUGAUUCUGGAUGAAGGUGAUAGGAUACUAACUAAAAUAUUAUGUUGUUUUUGCAACUACUGUAUUCUAAUUAUGAGGCAAAACAAAGACAAAGCUGUAAGUCAGAAUUCUGUGAACCUGUAACUGCCCAAGAAUCUAGAAGAUGAUCUCUUUUCUGUUGUUUUAUUUGAAAGAUCUCUUAUUUUUCUUUCUAUGCAAUUGGUGUUGAAAAUGGAAUUCUUCUUGUUAUAUGGACUUGCCAUCGAUAAAAAAAUUAUCCAUUUGGAAGUAAUGAAUUUCAUGUGGACUUAUAUAUCCAUAUCAUACAGAAACUUGAAUUAUUUCAUUGCCAACCAAUAAAUAUGAUAAUAGUAUCCCAACCCUGUCUUAUACCCUUUGCAAACUCUUGUUCUGCCAUGAUCCUAGGCUGUAGAUGCUUUAGAGAAUGGCAUGAAGUUAUACCUCUUCAUGUUAUUCUCCUUUGGUGAUCUCUGCCUGGGCUAGUACUCCCCUUGGAUUCUAUGUUGGAAGGAAAAUAAAAUGUCCAGCUUUCCGUCUUUUUUUAGAUAAACACCCCCCGAGAGUCUUACCGGAUCUUUUUACCUCUAAAUCAUUCUCUUCCUACAUAUAGAUCAUACUACCUAAAUCGUUGCUGAGCAUAUGUGUAUGUUGGCAUUGGAGCUGAUACAUAAGUAAUUCGUUCGCCGUGCUGUACAUUUAAUUUUUAUUAGGUUUGUUUGAACACCCUGCCCAUCUCCUAUAUAUCACUUACCGGACAAUUAAGUAGUGUCUAUGAGUCUCAUUUACUGCGACUGUUUAUUGUAUGUUUAUGACUUAAAUUGUUGUGUUCUGGUUUAGGCUAACGUCUAUAGGGAAGAGAGGAAUAUUGUGGACCUGUAUAUCAUACUUCUUUGAUUUUCAAGUUUGGUAUCAGAAACUAUACCGCUCCAUCGAGAUUACCCUGCUCUGCAUCCGAGAGAGAAAACACGUUAUAAGAAGAAAUUGUUGAAUGUGUUGGAUGAAUUAGAAGCUUUGAAGCCAGAGUUUCAACAACGAGUGGAAGAACUGAACAAAGAUGAUGCUGGGUUACAAUUGGUUGGACUUGACAGCCAGGAAAGAAGAACUGGUUAUACAUCUGAUACAGCUUCAGUGGAUUGGUCCUCUGCUGCUGGAAAUUCUUUCUCAAGCAUGGAUAAACGGAUCAUGUUACCAGAAGCAGUUGCCAUCGUAAUGGCGCCAACAGAUACAUCCAGCCCCCAUGGAAUUUUCCAUCUCUCCGAUCCAAGUGGUGUGAAUGUGAUUCGUAAUUGUCAGGAACGCGGGUUUCACCCACAUGAGGAGCCCUCGGAUGGGAGCCCAAUUUACGAGCACUGUUCCCAUGUGUAUAUGAACUCCAAGUUGAAGUUCGAAAUUGUUGAUCUCCGGUAAUGGCAGAGAAUUUUCACCUUGUGUGGAGCGGUUGCGGAACACACUCUAUGCAGGAAAGAUUCGAGAACAAUUUCCCUUCCCUAAGUGAGUGUAAAUGUUAUAAUCUUGUAUUUUUAACAGUACAUAGAGGAAAAUGAAAUACAGGAACUACAUCGGCUUAAUUUUCAUUUCGAUGAUGAACUUUACAA